rnacentral:misc_RNA from 1 species
GAUGAAGAACGCAGCGAAAUGCGAUACGUAAUGUGAAUUGCAAAUUCAGUGAAUCAUCGAGUCUUUGAACGCACAUUGCGCCCCCUGGUAUUCCGGGGGGCAUGCCUGUCCGAGCGUCAUUGCUGCCCUCAAGCACGGCUUGUGUGUUGGGCCCCGUCCUCCGAUCCCGGGGGACGGGCCCGAAAGGCAGCGGCGGCACCGCGUCCGGUCCUCGAGCGUAUGGGGCUUUGUCACCCGCUCUGUAGGCCCGGCCGGCGCUUGCCGAUCAACCCAAAUUUUUAUCCAGGUUGACCUCGGAUCAGGUAGGGAUACCUGCUGAACUUAAGCAUAUCAAUAAGCGGAGGA